rnacentral:rRNA from 1 species
GAUGAACGCUGGCGGCGUGCCUAAUACAUGCAAGUCGAGCGAACGGACGAGAAGCUUGCUUCUCUGAUGUUAGCGGCGGACGGGUGAGUAACACGUGGAUAACCUACCUAUAAGACUGGGAUAACUUCGGGAAACCGGAGCUAAUACCGGAUAAUAUUUUGAACCGCAUGGUUCAAAAGUGAAAGACGGUCUUGCUGUCACUUAUAGAUGGAUCCGCGCUGCAUUAGCUAGUUGGUAAGGUAACGGCUUACCAAGGCAACGAUGCAUAGCCGACCUGAGAGGGUGAUCGGCCACACGGGAACUGAGACACGGUCCAGACUCCUAGGGGAGGCAGCAGUAGGGAAUCUUCCGCAAUGGGCGAAAGCCUGACGGAGCAACGCCGCGUGAGUGAUGAAGGUCUUCGGAUCGUAAAACUCUGUUAUUAGGGAAGAACAUAUGUGUAAGUAACUGUGCACAUCUUGACGGUACCUAAUCAGAAAGCCACGGCUAACUACGU